ACAAAAAAAAAUUAGCCAGGCGUGGUGGCGGGCGCCUGUAGUCCCAGCUACUCAGGAGGCUGAGGCAGGAGAAUGGCAUGAACCGGGAGACGGAGCUUGCAGUGAGCCGAGAUCACACCACUGCACUCCAGCCCAGGCAACAGAGCGAGACUCUGUCUCAAAAAAAAAAAAAAAAAUUGAAAGUUCCUAAUACUGAGAGAGAGACUACAAAUAAAAUUCACUGCCCUCAGCUUCCAGAGAAACCAAAAAACAUAAAACCUAAUAACCAAAGAAUCUUGCAUCUUAAGCCCCAGAGUUUACUGAAUGUGUCGCAAAAUACACACCUUGACCUUGUUCAAACCAGGGUGAACGGACAGGAGAAUGUGAAGGAAGAUGAUGUUUGAUCUCAAAUACAUUCGAGUAAAGAGAAACACUAAAAAUGGGAUAAAGGAUCCUAGACCCAGCAAUGUACUUAAGCUCAUUGUGCCUCAAUUUUUUUCAGUUUAUACUCACAUUUACUGCCUUUUAGGAUCAUCUUUGAAUUGUGGAUAGAAAGAUAGAUGAAAGAAACUUUGAUAGGAAUUAUUAAUAUCUUCCUCGAAGUCACAGACCUUUGAUUUUUCAAGGUAAUAAUCUGAAAAUAGAUACUUGGUGGGCCUGUGUAACAGAAGUUUUUUUUCUGCAACAAGUGCCCAUGUACACAGCUGGAACUGUAUUUUGCCGAACCUGAGCCGUCUACAACUGUGAUUCUUUGAUUCAUAACUUUCUCUACACACUAGCUCAACAAGAAUUGCUGGUUUGCCAUUUUCCUAGGAACCUUGUUUUGAAAAAUCUCAGAAGAUUAAUCCUUCCCCUGUCUAUGAUAUAUGAACUACUCCCCUCUGUAUUUCUCCUGAUUCCUAGUAAUUUGCCUGUUGUAGCUUCACUGAAUAGGAACUCACUAUCUUAAUAGAGAUCUUUUAUUUAUUUAUUUAGAGACAGGGUCUUACUCUCUCACCCAGGCUAGAGUGCAGUGGCGUGAUCACAGCUCACUGCAGCCUCAGCCCCCCAGGCUCAAGUGAUCCUUCUGCCUCAGCCUCCCACGUAGCUGGGACCACAGGCACAAGCCACCACACCCAGCUAAUUUUUGUAUUUUUUGUAGAGACAGGGUUUUGCCAUGUUGCCCAGGCUGGUCUUGAACUCCUGGGCUCAAGCAAUCCUCCCACUUUGGCCUCUGAAAGGGCAGGGAUUACAGGCAUGAGCCACUGUGCUUAGCCUUAUUUUUUGGAAACAGGGUCUUGCUUUGUCACUCAGGCUUAAGUGCAGUGAUGUGUACAUGGCUCAAUGCAGCCUCGACCUCCUGGGCUCAAGCAAUCCUCAGCCUCCCAUGUAGCUGGGAUCACAGGUAUGCACCACACAUCUAGCUAAGUUUUUAUAGAGACGGGGUCUCACUUUGUUGCCCAGGCUGGUCUUAAACUCAUGGGCUCAAGUAGUCCACUUGCCUCAGCCUCCCAAAGUGCUGGGAUUACAAGUUUGAGUCACCACACCCAGCCAAGAAGUUUUUCUCUCCUCAGAGAGCUCUGGUUGUUAGAAACUUCUACCCGAGAAUAAGAAAACCUGUCUCUCUGUAUCAUGCAGAUGGAAUAAAAUAGAAAACUCCUCUUGUUUUCCAGUAUAGAACCUCUAACUGCUCAGGUGGACUGUCUGUCCUUCCCUGAAGUGCUGCACUGCUCUGUGUUAUUCAUCAGGCCAUGUGUCCUUAUAAUGGGCCUUUCUAUUGGUACAUAAAAGCUUCCCUCUCCUGUUCACUCAGCUACUACCCAAAUUUCCUGUGAUACCAAUCUUAGAAGAGCUUUCAGGUCUCCACUGCCUCCUUCCUAUCUGCCUUGCAGCCUGUGGUGGUUGCUGAAGAACUUUAAUUACAGUGUCAGAGUGUUCAGGGACAGUCCCAACUCCCUUCAUGUGAGGAUUGCAGAAAUGGGCUUGGAUCGUAUACAGACAGCGUCACGAGGCAUUACUGAAGAACAGUAAGUUCUUUCACAGAAGAUGUCAACUAAUACUUGCAUUUUCUUUGCCAUACCCCAAGAGGCAGGAGCUGGUUCCUAUAUAGUUAGGAUAUAGCUGACCAAUGAUCUCUUUAAAUGUAAUUUCCAUCUGCCACAUUUUAAAUUGCAGGUUUUUGCAUCAGGAAACUGUUGGGUCCAAUUAUUUGGUGCCUUGGAAAGGGCAUUAGAUGCAUAGCGAGAAGACCCUGGUUUAAUCUGACAUUCCACUUACUAGGUUUAGAAGCUUGAGCAAGUUAAUUAAUCUUUGAGUCUGUAUACCCAGCUGCAAAAUGAGGAUAAUGCUUAUCUUAUCGAGUGUUGUGAAAGCAAUAAAGAUUGUGUGAAAGGGUUUCAUAAACUGACAAGCACUGCACAAAUGUAAGGUCUCCUAAGGAAAACCUUUUCAAAACUCAAAAUCUGUAUGAAUGGAGAUACUUACUCAUGUUGGGUGGAAUGUUUUACAGCCAUUAAAAAUUAUAAGGGAAAAUGAAUUGAAAAAUACAAUCUAAAAUGGUGAGUUUGCAAUUAAAACAGAGUAAAACCUGUGUACAUAGACUAGAAUAUGGAAAAAAAUGAAUUACAGGGCAGUGGAAUUGAGUGACUUUUGCUUUAAAGCCUCGGGUAUAUUAGGUGUAUUCAGUUUAGUUCAAUAAACUUUUAUUGAGCUCUCACUCUCCCAAGCCCUGUGCUAGAUUCUAUGAGUGCUGAGACAAAUAGGACAUACUCCCUCAUCUCAGAGACUCCCAUUCUGUACAGUCUUGUCAAAGUUUACUGUGUAUAUGAAUCACUGGGGAGUGUAUUAAAAAUUUACAUUAUCCUACUCCCACCGGAAGAUCUGAUUCAGUAGGUCUGGGAUGGAACUAGCUCACAAUUUACAUUGUUUUAAACAGUCACCCUGAGUAAUUCUAGUGUAAGUAUUUUAAUUCUGUACUGAGAAACCUGCAGUGAGAUUUUAAUAUUUUUACACUAAAGGAUAAGUAAUAAUUAUACAAAUCUGCUUACUGAAGAAGGUACCCUGUUCUGUCUGCACGCUUGAGCUGGUUUUUAUGUGUCUCUAUCAAGGAUGGGAAAGCCAGCCUGCAGUGAUACCCCUUGGAACCCUUGCAGUGUAGAAACUACCACACCUCUCAACUUUUAUCUCUUUUCCUCACUCCAUUUCUCCCCACCACUUCUCCUAUGUUUUCUUCUUUCUAUGCAAGUGUUAAUCUCCCACUGUGGUUCCUUCUAUGCCUAGUACUAUAUCAACAUCCAGGUGCUUCCCCUUCCUUUCUCCACCCCACCCCCCAGCCAGAUAUGCCAAUCAUAUUGAAAACAACAACUUACAUCUAAUUUACUAAGUACAAACUUGUGUUGGUUAAUGUUUCUCAAAAAGUAGGAGUGGGCUGUUGGUUGAUCAAAAGUCAUUUUUUUAAAAAUCCGAUAUGGAAAUUUUUGUGUCAAGUUUCACUAUCAUUUAGUUCUUGAUUGAUUUUCUUCUGAUGGGUUAGUAGCCCUCAACAGAAAAUUUUAAAAGUCCUCUGCUCAGGUACCUGUCCUGCCGAUAGAACUGGGGUGUACCCUGCACCCUGACUCAACAUUGCUUGUCUCCACAUGCCUGUAAAUGGGCUUGGGUGGCUUUCUCAGGCUACACACCUGUCACUUCUUAGUCACCCAGAAUCAAAAUAUUAACAGCUCUGAUCACAUUUUCUGAACCUAUGAGGCUUUAUUUCAAGAGUGUUGACACUCCAAAAUGCAGCUAGGAUUUCCACAUUUUCACGUGUUAGUGUUGAAAUUAUUUUUACUUCAGGAAACCAAGGGUUGGACAAUGGCUUCCAGACUUUCUCCUUUCAUUAUGCUCCUUCAGCGCCUUAUGCAAAUGCCGGUUGUCUUAUGCUGCCAUUCGUCUCCUCUGCCAGAAUGUGAGCUCCAGGACAGCAGGGAUAAGAAUGCAUUCAUUUUUGUAUCUGCAGUACCUUGGAGAGUGUCUGACACAUAGUGGGCACUCAUUUUAAAACUGCCAAAUGAAUCAUUAAGGUGACCAAAAACAGGGUGGGGAAAAUACAUCCAUCAGACAACAGGGAAAUAUUUCUUAAAAAAAAAAAAUUCCCAAAACUAGCUUUUCCCUCUUUAUGUGUCUAAAAUAUCUCAUAAAUUUUUAAACUAUCCCUUUCAGCACAAAUCUGCCUGGAGCUGUUUCCUGAACACAGGACCAAAAGGCAGGAAUCAAAAGUAAUAAUGAGUUUAGUUAUCUGCCUGUCACUGAAGGUGACUUCUAGGGCACCCUCCUGGCAUUGCUUCUGGAAUACAAUGACUUAGACUUCUUCUGAAGAACAUCUCUAUGCUGUUCAUCAUAUCGCCAGCACCUAGCCCUGUGCCUGUGCAUAGUAAAUGCUCAGAAAAGAAAAAACAACAAAGUUUCCAGCUCUUACUCUAGAUUGACACUGGACCUUGGAGAUGCUUGCAGCCACUAAAUGUAAUGCCACAUGAUUGUUGACCCAACAAUAAUCCAGUUAAAAAACAGUCUUCAGAGUUACUACAUCAUCAGAAUUAACCCUGAUUACAUCAAAUUAUGUUGAAACAGACCACAGCUGUUUGCCCUGUUGAAGCAACUGCUUGAGAGCUCCUCCGGAAGAUACAUCUGGGUGUCACUAAGAUACAUUUUGGGUUUAAUUUUGUUUCUCAACACAAAUGUAGGAGGGAAACAAACCCUGUUCUGCUGGGGUGCUUGGUGGGAGCUGAAAACCUUGUGAUUCUCCAGCAGUCAAAAGUCAUCUCAAUUACCAAAGAGAAGGGAACCUGAGAUCUUUUGUUUCAGUUUUCUAUAGGAAGGAUGUAAGAGGAAGGAAAUUCAAAUCUGUUGAGUAUUGCUCUUGCCAGCAAAAAGAAGUGGAACUGACUAGUGAGAAGGUGGUGGGAUUUUCUUUGGUGGCUGUAUGCAGUGGUAUCAACCCAGGAGAGUAGACUGUUCAAUUGUGAAGAAUUUUGCAAGACAGUUGUUAUAAUAUCAUUAAAAUUAAGUUGUAAUAAAAAAAGGGAAAUAUGCAUUGGAAAAGAUGUGGACAGAUUGGAACCCUCAUACAUUGCUGAUGGGAAUGUAAAAUGGUGUAGCCACUGUGGAAAAAAGUUCAGCAGUUCCUUAAAAAGUUAAACAGUGUCACCAUAUGACUCAGCAUUUUCACUCCUAGAUAGAUACCUAGAUCGAAAACAUAUGUCCACACAAAAACUUGUACAGGAAUGAUCGCAACAGCAUUAUUCAUAAUAGCCAAAAACUGGAAACAACUGUAAUGUUCAUGAGCUGAUGAAUGGAUAAAAUGCGGUAUAUAAAGAACUGUUAAGUGCUUCAACAUGGAUGAAACUUGAAAACAUUAUACAAAGCGAAAGAGGUUAGACACACGAGGUCACAUAUUGUAUGAAUAUGGUUAUGUGAAACGUCUAGAAUUGGCAAUCCAUAGAGAUGAAAAGUAGGUUAGCAGUUGCCAGCGGAUGGGAUUGGGGGAAUGGAGAGUUAAUGCUAAUGGAUAUGGUGUUUCUUUUGGGGUAAUGAAAAUGUUCUGGAAUUAGAUAGCUGUGAUGGUUGUCAAAGUUGAUGAAUAUAUUAGAAACCAUGAAUUAUAAACUUUAACAUGGUGACUUUUGUGAUGUGUGAAUAUCUUAAUUAAAAAAUUAAGAUAUAAACUUACAAUUAAAUAAGUUAUAUUAAAAAGAAAGGUAGUAACUACCCCAAACUCAUCUCUUGGCUAAUUACGUUUUACUAUUGUGUUCUUGGUGUUAUUUAUGUCUAUUGUGUCUUUAUGUUGGAAAUACUAAAUAAUGGUGUAUUACUGUGUAUCUCUUAACUCUGUAGUCAAGGACAUUAACUUGAUAGCUUAAAACUGGCCAUGGCUGGCAGAGUAUGCCACAACAGUUGGCAUAUACUGUAAAUCAAGGCACCCACCAACACCACCAGGGAGCCAAUUUUAAAAUAUUUGCCAGCACAUCAUUGGCUAUAUUGUCGGACAAUCAUCUUGGGUAAUUCUGGUAGAAUUACAUAGUUAGAUGAGAUGAAAUCCUGAGGCCUCUAGGUUCCCAGCAAAUCAAAGACUAGCAAGCCUGCAUCGUUACUAUGCAAUUUAUCAGGUGCAGAAGGAAAUGACAUUUCUGGUCAUCUGUUGAAUAAAGCCAUUUUGAGUUCAGGGGACAUGGUUUUCUCCAGCUUCACUAGUGUUGCAUCUGGUACAAGGGGUUAAGUGCUAAAGCCCCUGUAGGAUUGUCACAGUGAAGCCAGACAACAGAGUAACCACAAAGAGAUUAAUUCUGUAGUCCCACAAAGGAGGGUGUCUAAAGAGUGUACAACAGUGUCAGAGUUUGGAAACCAAGGGUUGACAAAGUUGGUUCUCUGGAAUCUGGGGGUACCAGUUAAAAGGUUAAAAGGAGUCAUUGUUUUUUGAAACUAUCCAAGAGUUACAGCCAUGUUUUUUUUGUUGUUUGUUUGUUUGUUUUAAGAUUUCGGGGGAAUCUUAUUUUCUUACAUGUUUCUGGAAUUUUUCAUUCUUUUUAAAUUUAUUUUUAAGUUCCAGGGUACAUGUGCAGGAUGUGCAGGUUUGUUACACAGGUAAAUGUGUGUUAUGGUGGUGUGCUGCACCUAUCAACCCAUGACCAAGGUAUUAAGCUCAGCAAGCAUUAGCUAUUUUUCCUAAUGCUCUCCCUCUCCCAACUCUCCACCCACUCACAGGUCCCAGUGUGUGUUUCCCUCCCUGUGUCCUUGUAUUCUCAUUGUUCAGCUCCCACUUGUAAGUGAGAACAUGCGGUGUUUGGUGUUCUGUUCCUGUGUUAGUUUGAUGAGGAUAACGCCUUCCAGCUCCAUCCAUGUCCCUGCAAAGGACAUGAUCUCGUUCCUUUUUAUGGCAAGUUACAACCAUUUUUAAAAGUGGAACUGCACAGGAUUACCUCAACCUGCUAAGUCCUUCCAGCUAGGCCGUCCCUGUGGGUUUAAACACAAUGUAAAGAAAGUGGAUGUUAAGUGUUCUUUCCACAAAAAUGAUAACUAUAUUAGGUAAUGCAUUUGUUAGUUAGCUAGAUUUAACCAUCCCGCAGUGUGUGUAUUUUAUAUAUUUGUAUCUAUGUUUCAAAACAUCAUGUUGUACACAAUAAACACAUACGAUGUUACCUGACAAUUUUUAUUUAAAAAACCACUCCAGCUGCUUAUAGGUACCUUCACAAAUGCUAUUCUCUGGUUUGUAUGGAUCAGAGAGUUCUAGAUGUUCCAGUGGUCUA